GACGAACGCUGGCGGCGUGCUUAACACAUGCAAGUCGAACGGAAAGGCCCUGCUUUUGUGGGGUGCUCGAGUGGCGAAAGGGUGAGUAACACGUGAGUAACCUGCCCUUGACUUUGGGAUAACUUCAGGAAACUGGGGCUAAUACCGGAUAGGAGCUCCUGCUGCAUGGUGGGGGUUGGAAAGUUUCGGCGGUUGGGGAUGGACUCGCGGCUUAUCAGCUUGUUGGUGGGGUAGUGGCUUACCAAGGCUUUGACGGGUAGCCGGACUGAGAGGGUGACCGGCCACAUUGGGACUGAGAUACGGCCCAGACUCCUACGGGAGGCAGCAGUGGGGAAUAUUGCACAAUGGGCGGAAGCCUGAUGCAGCAACGCCGCGUGCGGGAUGACGGCCUUCGGGUUGUAAACCGCUUUCGCCUGUGACGAAGCGUGAGUGACGGUAAUGGGUAAAGAAGCACCGGCUAACUACGUG
rnacentral:rRNA from 1 species